rnacentral:rRNA from 1 species
ACGGAGGGUGCAAGCGUUAAUCGGAAUUACUGGGCGUAAAGCGUGCGUAGGUGGUUCGUUAAGUCCGUUGUGAAAGCCCCGAGCUCAACUUGGGAAUUGCAGUGGAUACUGGCGGGCUGGAGUGCGGUAGAGGAAGGUGGAAUUCCCGGUGUAGCGGUGAAAUGCGUAGAGAUCCGGAAGAACACCGGUGGCGAAGGCGGCCUGCUGGGCAGUUGCUGACACUGAGGCGCGACAGCGUGGGGAGCAAACAGGA